rnacentral:rRNA from 1 species
AUGAACGCUGGCGGCGUGCCUAAUACAUGCAAGUCGAGCGAACAGACGAGGAGCUUGCUCCUUCGACGUUAGCGGCGGACGGGUGAGAAACACGUAGGUAACCUACCUAUAAGACUGGGAUAACUUCGGGAAACCGGAGCUAAUACCGGAUAAUAUUUCGAACCGCAUGGUUCGAUAGUGAAAGAUGGCUUUGCUAUCACUUAUAGAUGGACCUGCGCCGUAUUAGCUAGUUGGUAAGGUAACGGCUUACCAAGGCAACGAUACGUAGCCGACCUGAGAGGGUGAUCGGCCACACUGGAACUGAGACACGGUCCAGACUCCUACGGGAGGCAGCAGUAGGGAAUCUUCCGCAAUGGGCGAAAGCCUGACGGAGCAACGCCGCGUGAGUGAUGAAGGUCUUCGGAUCGUAAAACUCUGUUAUUAGGGAAGAACAAACGUGUAAGUAACUGUGCACGUCUUGACGGUACCUAAUCAGAAAGCCACGGCUAACUACGUG